rnacentral:rRNA from 1 species
UACGUAGGGUGCAAGCGUUAAUCGGAAUUACUGGGCGUAAAGCGUGCGCAGGCGGUUUUGUAAGCCAGAUGUGAAAUCCCCGGGCUUAACCUGGGAAUGGCAUUUGGGACUGCAAGGCUUGAGUGCGGCAGAGGAGACUGGAAUUCCUGGUGUAGCAGUGAAAUGCGUAGAUAUCAGGAGGAAUACCGAUGGCGAAGGCAGGUCUCUGGGCCGACACUGACGCUCAUGCACGAAAGCGUGGGGAGCAAACAGG